rnacentral:lncRNA from 1 species
CCUAAAAAGGAAGGUCCAGCUGUCUGUACUUUGUUCUAGAACACUUUGUAAAAAUGAGGGAUAUCGGCCUAAUCUACAUUUGUCAGCGCUAAUCCUCAGUAGAUAAAGAGCCAAAGAGCCAGAAACCCAAUGGACAAAGAUGAAGUAACAAGACGUCGAACUUUUUAAAUAUAGGCAGUUGUGUAGCCUAAAAAGGAAGGUCCAGCUGUCUGUACUUUGUUCUAGAACACUUUGUAAAAAUGGUAAUCGUCUGAAAUAUAUAUUUUUAGAACGACUUUGUCUUUUAAUUUUGUAAAAAGUAAUUUAUUCAUCUGACGGAAAUCCAAAUAUAUCGCUAUAAUUCGUCACCAGAGGGAUAUCGGCCUAAUCUACAUUUGUCAGCGCUAAUCCUCAGUAGAUAAAGAGCCAAAGAGCCAGAAACCCAAUGGACAAAGAUGAAGUAACAAGACGUCGAACUUUUUAAAUAUAGGCAGUUGUGUAGCCUAAAAAGGAAGGUCCAGCUGUCUGUACUUUGUUCUAGAACACUUUGUAAAAAUGGUAAUCGUCUGAAAUAUAUAUUUUUAGAACGACUUUGUCUUUUAAUUUUGUAAAAAGUAAUUUAUUCAUCUGACGGAAAUCCAAAUAUAUCGCUAUAAUUCGUCACCAGAGGGAUAUCGGCCUAAUCUACAUUUGUCAGCGCUAAUCCUCAGUAGAUAAAGAGCCAAAGAGCCAGAAACCCAAUGGACAAAGAUGAAGUAACAAGACGUCGUAAGAUUUACCAUUCCAAUUUUAAAGAAGAUUUUUUCUUAAUAUUUAUUGGUUUUUUUGUGUU